CCUACGGGAGGCAGCAGUGGGGAAUAUUGGACAAUGGGCGAAAGCCCGAUCCAGCAAUGCCGCGUGAGUGAUGAAGGCCUUAGGGUCGUAAAGCUCUUUUACCCGGGAUGAUAAUGACAGUACCGGGAGAAUAAGCCCCGGCUAACUCCGUGCCAGCAGCCGCGGUAAUACGGAGGGGGCUAGCGUUGUUCGGAAUUACUGGGCGUAAAGCGUGCGUAGGCGGUUAUUCAAGUCAGAGGUGAAAGCCCGGGGCUCAACCCCGGGAACGGCCUUUGAAACUAGGUAGCUAGAAUCUUGGAGAGGUCAGUGGAAUUCCGAGUGUAGAGGUGAAAUUCGUAGAUAUUCGGAAGAACACCAGUGGCGAAGGCGACUGACUGGACAAGUAUUGACGCUGAGGCACGAAAGCGUGGGGAGCAAACAGGAUUAGGAUACCCGUGGUAGUCCACGCCGUAAACGAUGAUAACUAGCUGUUCGGGUACUUGGUAUCUGAGUGGCGCAGCUAACGCAUUAAGUUAUCGCCUGGGGAUACGGUCGCAGAUUAAACUCAAAGGAAUUGACGG
rnacentral:rRNA from 1 species